rnacentral:piRNA from 1 species
GUGGAUCAGACCUAAAGACAUCUCUC